CCUACGGGAGGCAGCAGUGGGGAAUUUUGGACAAUGGGCGCAAGCCUGAUCCAGCAAUGCCGCGUGAGUGAAGAAGGCCUUCGGGUUGUAAAGCUCUUUUGUCAGGGAAGAAACGGUGGAGGCUAAUAUCCUUUGCUAAUGACGGUACCUGAAGAAUAAGCACCGGCUAACUACGUGCCAGCAGCCGCGGUAAUACGUAGGGUGCAAGCGUUAAUCGGAAUUACUGGGCGUAAAGCGUGCGCAGGCGGUUUUGUAAGUUUGUCGUGAAAUCCCCGGGCUCAACCUGGGAAUGGCGAUGAAGACUGCAAGGCUAGAAUCUGGCAGAGGGGGGUAGAAUUCCACGUGUAGCAGUGAAAUGCGUAGAGAUGUGGAGGAACACCGAUGGCGAAGGCAGCCCCCUGGGUCAAGAUUGACGCUCAUGCACGAAAGCGUGGGGAGCAAACAGGAUUAGAUACCCUGGUAGUCCACGCCCUAAACGAUGUCUACUAGUUGUCGGGUUUUAAUUAACUUGGUAACGCAGCUAACGCGUGAAGUAGACCGCCGUUAGGGGAGUACGGUCGCAAGUAUUAAAACCGUCGAAAAGGAAUUGGACCGGCUGAGACGUACGCCGACGGACGACGACGAGGGAGGAGG
rnacentral:rRNA from 1 species